GACAGAGGUGCCAAGCGUUAGGCGGAAUCACUGGGCUUAAAGCGUGUGUAGGCGGGUGCCUAAGUACCUUGUGAAAUCCCACGGCUCAACCGUGGAACUGCUGGGUAUACCGGGUGCCUUGGGUCAUCUAGGGGCUGCCGGAACAAAUGGUGGAGCGGUGAAAUGCGUAGAUAUCAUUUGGAACGCCAACGGCGAAAGCAGGCAGCUGGGGAUGCACCGACGCUGAGACACGAAAGCCAGGGGAGCGAACGGG
rnacentral:rRNA from 1 species